rnacentral:rRNA from 1 species
UACGUAGGGGGCUAGCGUUGUCCGGAAUCAUUGGGCGUAAAGCGCGUGUAGGCGGUCCGGUAAGUCCGCUGUGAAAGUCGGGGGCUCAACCCUCGGAUGCCGGUGGAUACUGUCGGGCUUGAGUACGGAAGAGGCGAGUGGAAUUCCUGGUGUAGCGGUGAAAUGCGCAGAUAUCAGGAGGAACACCAAUUGCGAAGGCAGCUCGCUGGGACGUUACUGACGCUGAGACGCGAAGCGUGGGAGCAACAGG